rnacentral:rRNA from 1 species
UUGGUGCCUUCGGGAACUCUGAGACAGGUGCUGCAUGGCUGUCGUCAGCUCGUGUUGUGAAAUGUUGGGUUAAGUCCCGCAACGAGCGCAACCCUUAUCCUUUGUUGCCAGCGGUUAGGCCGGGAACUCAAAGGAGACUGCCAGUGAUAAACUGGAGGAAGGUGGGGAUGACGUCAAGUCAUCAUGGCCCUUACGAGUAGGGCUACACACGUGCUACAAUGGCGCAUACAAAGAGAAGCGACCUCGCGAGAGCAAGCGGACCUCAUAAAGUGCGUCGUAGUCCGGAUUGGAGUCUGCAACUCGACUCCAUGAAGUCGGAAUCGCUAGUAAUCGUAGAUCAGAAUGCUACGGUGAAUACGUUCCCGGG